CACCUAGAAGAAUCUGAUGUGAUCUCCUACAUUCUUGCUGGUUUACCUUCAGACUAUGAUUCUCUUGUCACGUCUGUGACUACCCGGUUGGAGUCUAUUUCACUGGAUGAACUGUAUGGGUACUUGUUAACCCACGAAA